AACUCAGAUGAAUCGACGGGGGCCCGCACAAGCGGUGGAGCAUGUGGUUUAAUUCGAUGCAACGCGAAGAACCUUACCUACUCUUGACAUCCAGGGAACUUAGCAGAGAUGCUUUGGUGCCUUCGGGAACUCUGAGACAGGUGCUGCAUGGCUGUCGUCAGCUCGUGUUGUGAAAUGUUGGGUUAAGUCCCGCAACGAGCGCAACCCUUAUCCUUUGUUGCCAGCGAUUCGGUCGGGAACUCAAAGGAGACUGCCGGUGAUAAACCGGAGGAAGGUGGGGAUGACGUCAAGUCAUCAUGGCCCUUACGAGUAGGGCUACACACGUGCUACAAUGGCGUAUACAAAGAGAAGCGACCUCGCGAGAGCAAGCGGAACUCAUAAAGUACGUCGUAGUCCGGAUUGGAGUCUGCAACUCGACUCCAUGAAGUCGGAAUCGCUAGUAAUCGUAGAUCAGAAUGCUACGGUGAAUACGUUCCCGGGCCUUGUACACACCGCCCGUCACACCAUGGGAGUGGGUUGCAAAAGAAGUAGGUAGCUUAACCUUCGGGAGGGCGCUUACCACUUUGUGAUUCAUGACUGGGGUGAAGUCGUAA
rnacentral:rRNA from 1 species